AGAGUUUGAUCCUGGCUCAGGAUGAACGCUGGCGGCGUGCCUAACACAUGCAAGUCGAACGUAGAAUAUUGGAUUUAUUCAUUAUUCUGAGUGGCGGACGGGUGAGUAACACCUGCGCACCCUUCCUAUAAGAAAGGCAUAGCUUCUCGAAACGGAUGGUAAUACCUCAUAACAUAAUCACACCACACGGUGAUAUUAUCAACGAUUUAUUACUUAGAGAUGUGCUCUCGUCUGAUUAACUAGAUGAUGAGGUAACUGCCCACCAUGGCGAUGAUCAGUAGCCGGACUGAGAGGUUGAACGGCCACAUUGGGAAUGCGACGCCGCCCAUCCUCCUACGGGACGGCAGCUAGUGGAGGAAUAUUGCAACAAUGGGGGAACACCCUGAUGCAGCGAUGCCGCGUGGAGAGAAGAAGGUUUUCGGAGUNGUACAUUCUUGUACUUAAGGGACGAUAAUGACGGUACCUUAGGAGGAAGCUCCGGCUAACUACGUGCCAGCAGCCGCGGUAAUACGUAGGGAGCGAGCGUUGUCCGGAAUUACUGGGUGUAAAGGGAGCGCAGGCGGGAUUGCAAGUCAGAUGUGAAAACUAUGGGCUUAACCCAUAGACUGCAUUUGAAACUGUAGUUCUUGAGUGAAGUAGAGGCAAGCGGAAUUCCUAGUGUAGCGGUGAAAUGCGUAGAUAUUAGGAGGAACAUCGGUGGCGAGGGCGGCUUACUGGGCUUUUACUGACGCUGAGGCUCGAAAGCGUGGGGAGCAAACAGGAUUAGAUACCCUGGUAGUCCACGCUGUAAACGAUGAUUACUGGGUGUGGGGGGUCUGACCCCCUCCGUUCCGGAGUUAACGCCAUAAGCCAUUCCCCUGGGGAGGACGGCCGCCAGGGUGAAAAUUAAAGGAAUUGACGGGGGCCCGCCCCAGCCGUGGAUUAUGUGGUUUAAUUUGAAGCAACGGGAAGAACCUUUCCAGGGUUUGACAUCCUACUAACGAAGUAGAGAUACAUCCGGUGCCCUUUGGGGAAAGUAGAGACCGGUGGUGCAUGGUUGUUGUCAGCUUGUGUUGUGAGAAGUUGGGUUAAGUCCCGCCACGAGCGCCACCCCUAUUGUUAGGUGGUAAGCAAGAACCCUUUAGCGAGGCUGCCGUUGACAAAACGGAGGGAGGGGGGGGAGGCGUCAAAUUAUCCUGCCCCUUAUGUUCUGGGCCACCCCAGUAAUUCAAUGGGUGUCAACAGAGGGAGGCAAAGCCGUAAGGGCGGAAGUGAACCCUCUAAAAGCCGUCCCAGUUCAGAUUGUGGGCUGCAACCCGCCCACAUGAAGUCGGAAUCGCUAGUAGUGGCGGAUCAGCAUGCCGCGGUGAAUACGUUCCCGGGCCUUGCACUAACCGCCCGUCA
rnacentral:rRNA from 1 species